AUCUCCACCAGGCUGGGGUAUCUCCACCCCAUCCCCACAGAGCCAGGGUACCUUCACCGCCAUCCCCUUCCUGUUCCAGGAGUACUGCCAAGAGAUGCAAAGACAAGCACCUGGAGGAGGCUCUCCUGCUGUCGCGGGCGCUGGGUGAGGGUCUGCGGGCACUGGACGAGGCGGAGGCACGGCCCCUGCUCCGCUGUGUCCUGGCUUUCCAGAUGGAAGCAACCGGCAGCUCCAGCUCUUUCCAGAAACUGGAACAGAUCGUGACCCAGCUGGCGGUGGGGAAGGAAGCACUGCUGGCCCGGGAGGUGGGCAUGCUGCUGGCUGGCCUGGAGGGAGAGGUGCUGUCUCCUGGGGACCUUCAGUCAGUUUGCAUGUUCACGGAGGAGAGCAUCCUGGGCCGGCAGCACUGGCAGCAGAACCUGGCCCCGCUGCUGCAGCGUCUGGCCACCACCUUACGCUGGGUGCUGCAGAGCCAGCCCGCACCCGGCAGCACGUGGGGCUACCUGGCUGUCAAGGUAAGAGCUGAAUUUUGGAGGAGGGGGGAAGGAUCGGUGUCUGCAAGGAUUGGCCAGGCACUGGCAGC
rnacentral:lncRNA from 1 species